rnacentral:rRNA from 1 species
CCACAGAACUUGCCAGAGAUGGCUUUGGUUGCCUUCGGGAACUGUGAGACAGGUGCUGCAUGGCUGUCGUCAGCUCGUGUUGUGAAAUGUUGGGUUAAGUCCCGCAACGAGCGCAACCCUUAUCCUUUGUUGCCAGCGGUCCGGCCGGGAACUCAAAGGAGACUGCCAGUGAUAAACUGGAGGAAGGUGGGGAUGACGUCAAGUCAUCAUGGCCCUUACGACCAGGGCUACACACGUGCUACAAUGGCGCAUACAAAGAGAAGCGACCUCGCGAGAGCAAGCGGACCUCAUAAAGUGCGUCGUAGUCCGGAUUGGAGUCUGCAACUCGACUCCAUGAAGUCGGAAUCGCUAGUAAUCGUGAAUCAGAAUGUCACGGUGAAUACGUUCCCGGGUUUGGUACACACCG